UACGUAGGGACCGAGCGUUGUCCGGAUUCAUUGGGCGUAAAGAGCUCGUAGGCGGCCACUCAAGUCGAAUGUGAAACCUCGAGGCUUAACCUCGAGCCUGCAUUCGAUACUGGGCGGCUAGAGUCUGGUAGGGGACCACGGAAUUCCUGGUGUAGCGGUGAAAUGCGCAGAUAUCAGGAGGAACACCGGUGGCGAAGGCGGUGGUCUGGGCCGGAACUGACGCUGAGGAGCGAAAGCGUGGGGAGCGAACAGG
rnacentral:rRNA from 1 species